CGACAUGAGACUCCAGGCUUGUCAUAUACCGAACUCAAAAAUGAAUUUGUCUUAAUUUCUGAACUUUCUAUUCUGUUCCUUUGAUCAAAUUAAUUUUCAUGAAUUUGAGCAAAACAUUUUCGAAUACUUGAAUGUCCUUUACAUCUCUGGCUGCUUCACUCAUCUAUUAUUGUGAUACAAUAAGUCAAUGGCUUAAAACAGGAGUUUACUGAUUGUCAUGAUUCUGUGGGUUGGCCAUCUGGGAGGGCCUUCUGCUGGUCUUUGCUGGGAUCACUCCUGUGGCUGCGGUCAUCUGACAGCUGGACUGGGAGUUGAGAGUCCAGAUGGAUCACUCACAUAUCUGGCAAUUGGUGCUGGCUGUUCACUGAGACACAUGGUUCUCCUCUUAUGGCUUUUCAUUCCUUAGCAGGUUAUCCUGGUCUUCCUCACAUCCCGGUGGUCUAAAAGACUCAAGAAGGCAAACCCCAAAGCGUAAGCACUGAUCAAGUCUCUGACCCCUCCCCUCGCCACAUUUACUAAUGUUCCCGUGGACAAAGCAAGUCAUACGGCCCAGCUAGAGGCCAAGUUUGAAAGAUAUAGACUGCUCCAUUGAUGGUAGAAGUGGCUAAGAAUUCAUGGCCUUUUUAAUCCACCACACUGUCUAUUAACUCAAUUUCGUUUCUAUAUUUUUAUGUUUGUGCUUUCUUUCCCAUAUUCUUAGUUGGGAUUAGUUGUGGUUUAUAUAUUUCACUGUUUCAGAGAUUUUCUCUCCAGAGAACUGUCUUGGAUAAAUUUAUUAGGCCUAAAAUUUUUCUUUGUGUGUGUAUAAAAUAUAGAUGUAUUUUAUUUAUUAUAUAUAAUAUAUAUUUGUAAUCUGUAUCACUGUCACCACAGGGGCUUAUUGAAAAUAAUGAUGAUCUACUGAAUCUAAAUUAGUGAGAGCAGAUCCUAGGAAUCUGCAUUUUAAACUCAAGUCUUGUCUAGUGAAACAGUGCAAUGUUCUAUGAGGUCUUCUCAUGAGUUUUGUCUCUGAGUCUUCCAUCAUCAG
rnacentral:lncRNA from 1 species